UCCCAAGCAGGUUGCUGACAGCACAGAGCCUACCUAACACAGGGCUCGAUCUCACGAACUGUGAGAUCGUGGCCUGAGCUGAUAUUGAGUCAGACACUCUCAGGUGCCCUUAUACUUCUUAUCUUGUUCAGAGUUCAUUCCAUAUAUAAUGAUACCUUUAAAUUCUAGUCCUUUGACCUUCUUCUGGUCACCUCCUUUAAGUCUGAGUGCAGUGCAGAAGAACAGAGUAUUGACUUUGGGCAGCGAAGCUGGAUUUCAGUCCAGCUCCGCCACUGAAGUGUUGGGUCCUGUCCCUCUCUGGGCUUUGGUUCCCAAUAAGGGGGUUGGACGAAGUUAACGUUCUUAACCUGGAUGCUAAGAAUUAGACCUCAGUAUUCUUUGAAAUUCUUAAAUUUAUAAAGAAAAUUUUGUGUAAGUGUGCAUUCGUUUGGACAGUGUCUAAACCUUUUAUAAGAUUCUCAAAAAGUUUCCUUGAUUACAGUAACUUCAUAUCUAUGGUGUCAGAUUAUGUUUCAGACACAUCAUGUUCUAAUAAUCACUUAUAAAAAGUAUAUUAAAGCCUUUGGAGACUCUGGACUGUGCUAGAAAUUUAAGAAGCCGUGGCUUGGUACCCCGGGACAAACAUACAAGAGGCCCUAAAGUAUCUUGUGAAUGUAUAAAAAACGUGAUUAAAUGUUCUCAGCCAGAAACGGCACCAAACGGUAGAAAACAAACAGUUGUCACUCCUAUUACAAAUUUACAUAUCUCGAAAUGCAUGACAUAAAUUAACUUGAAUUAGAAGUCACAAGGUUUCUUAGCUCUGGGGUUUCAAGCUGUGACUUUCUGCAACAUGUAAAUUCAGUGAACCUAAAACUUCUUCACCAUGAAUAGUCAUGAACAGAUUUCAAGAAUAGUGUCAUAAGUUCCUAUUGAAACUACAGUCUGAAAGGUUCAUUAACUUAAGUGAAGAAAUAAAAUCUGAAUUGGCUCAAACCCCUUAUCUAUAUUUAAAAAUUUUACCCUUGUGCUCUUUGCCGGUUUUUCAAAUAAUUUGAAACGCUUUGCAAUAAUCUGUAACAAUAAUUAGGACGUUUUUAGACGGGAUAAAAUAGAUGUCUUAUAGUCUUAACUCUCACUUCAUUGGCUUCAACUUUAGUGAUGAAAAAAGUCCUUCAUAAACUUUCGGUACCAUUUUCACCUUGAUUUUGUCCCUUUAAUUAAGUACAGGUAAGCAAACAGUCAAGUUGUGCCGACUUUAUGUCAGGAAAUUUGCCAGCCGGGAGAAGACAAAGAGAAAGACAUUCUGCCCAAGGGACUUCUUAAACCGAAUGUAGCAGCUCACUUGGGAGCACGAGGAAAUGACAAGCGGCAUCAGGUUUCCUAUAAGGAGUUUUUAAGAGAAUAUCGGUGGGAUUCUACGCGCUGAGAAAAAGUAGGGUGUCCUAACACCACCGUGAGUACGAUCGUCCUCGUCAUCCUCAUCCUGUUUUCCAGAGAAGGGGAGUCGUUUCCCAAGACGUACAGCUGGUGAAUGAGAGAGAGGAGAUUUGAACUCGGCAGUCCAUAUUCUUAACGACUCCGUUAGGCUGCGUUUUGAAAAUUGUUGAAGACCCCCAAGGGAUUCUCCACUUGCAGACAUCUGCCCCCAGAGGUGGGGGGAUGAGGGCACGUGCCUGUCCUUCCCUUCGUGAGCUCCGGCUGGUGGGGCUUCUCUUACGCGUAUGUGUGCUGUCUGCUACCCAUUUGACUCAAAACUCUGUGCUUGUCGGAGUCAGGCCUGGACCACCCACCAGUGCCCCAUCAGAAGCUGGCACGUUAACGUGUGUACGGAAUUUUAACUAAUGAAUGGGAUGCAACG